UUAAAUUGAAGAGUUUGAUCAUGGCUCAGAUUGAACGCUGGCGGCAGGCCUAACACAUGCAAGUCGAACGGUAGCACAGAGGAGCUUGCUCCUUGGGUGACGAGUGGCGGACGGGUGAGUAAUGUCUGGGAAACUGCCCGAUGGAGG
rnacentral:rRNA from 1 species